AUGAACAUGAGGGCCCCUUUUCAGUUACUUGGGUUUCUAUUGCUCUGGUUUCAAGGUGCCCUAUGUGGCAUCCAGAUGACCCAGUCUCCAUCCUCCCUGUCUGUCUCUCUGGGAGACAGAAUCACCAUCAGUUGCAGCGCAAGUGCGAGUAUUAGCAAUUAUUUAAACUGGUAUCAAAAGAAUCCAGAUGGAACUGUUCAACUCCUGAUCUACUAUACUUCGAAUUUACACUCAGGAGUCCCAUCAAGGUUCAGUGGCAGUGGGUCUGGGACAGAUCAUUUGCUCACCAUCAACAGUCUGGAACCUGAAGAUAUUGUCACUUGUUACUGUCAAAAAUAUAAUAAGUUUCCUCCCACAGAGUUACAAGUUAUAACAUAA